UAGAAGCCUCAAUGUCUUCUGUGAUCUAGCCAUGGAAAUCACACAGCGGCAUUUCUGCAAUAUCCUAUUAGCUAUGUAAAUAAGCCCUACUCAAUGGAGGAGGGAAUUCUUGCCACUUUAACCUCCAUCUAUCUUCUGCUCUACUCAGUGCAUUUAAGACUAUUCACGUUCCACUUGGCCACUUCUUACAGACUUUGAAAUAAAUAAUUUUAGGGGCGUCUAGGUGGC